AACAAACGCUGGCGGCGCGCUUAACACAUGCAAGUCGAACGGUCUCGAUAGAACCGUAAGGUAAUAUCGGGAUAGUGGCAAACGGGUGAGUAACACGUGGAUAAUCUGCCCUUGAGUGGGGGGUAACUCCGCGAAAGUGGAGCUAAUACCGCGUAAGACUACAGAGUCGCAUGAUUCAGUAGUAAAAGGCUCCCCGAUUUUCGGGGAAUCGCUCAGGGAUGAGUCCGCGCCUGAUUAGCUAGUUGGUAGGGUAACAGCCUACCAAGGCAACGAUCAGUAGCCGGCCUGAAAGGGUGUACGGCCACACUGGAAUUGAGAUACGGUCCAGACUCCUACGGGAGGCAG
rnacentral:rRNA from 1 species